rnacentral:rRNA from 1 species
AAUGAACGCUGGCGGCGCGCCUAAUACAUGCAAGUCGAGCGAGAAGACGCAGCAAUACGUUUGUAAAGCGGCGAACGGGUGAGGAAUACAUGGGUAACCUACCCUAGAGUGGGGAAUAACUAGCCGAAAGGUUAGCUAAUACCGCGUACGCUCCUUGGACUUCGGUUCAGGGAGGAAAGCGAUACCGAGGGUAUCGCGCUCUUGGAUGGGCUCAUGUCCUAUCAGCUUGUUGGGAGGUAACGGCUCACCAAGGCUUCGACGGGUAGCUGGUCUGAGAGGACGAUCAGCCACACUGGCACUGCGACACGGGCCAGACUCCUACGGGAGGCAGCAGUAAGGAAUAUUGCGCAAUGGGCGAAAGCCUGACGCAGCGACGCCGCGGUGGGGGAUGAAGGUCUUCGGAUUGUAAACCCCUUUCGGGAGGGAAGAUGGAACGAGCAAUCGUUCGGACGGUACCUCCA